AGCGGCCCCCCCGGUUACCUUGUUACGACUUCACCCCAGUCACGAACCCCGCCGUGGUAAGCGCCCUCCUUGCGGUUAGGCUACCUCCUUCUCGCGGAACCCGCUCCCAUGGUGUGACGCGCGGUGUGUACACGACCCCCGAACGCAUUCACCCCGGCAUGCUGAUCCCCGAUUACUAGCGCUUCCCCCUUCAUGCAGUCGAGUUGCAGACUCCACUCCCCACUCCGACCGCUUUUCUGGGAUUGGCUCCCCCUCGCGGGUUGGCUGCCCCCUGUACCCCCCAUUGUAUGACGCGUGUAGCCCCACCCAUAAGGGGCAUGAGGACUUGACGCCAUCCCCCCCUCCCUCCCCUUUGUCACCCCCAGUCCCAUCAGAGUGCCCCCUCCGUAGCAACUAAUGGGAAGGGCUGCGCUCGUU
rnacentral:rRNA from 1 species